rnacentral:rRNA from 1 species
AUCGAACGCUGGCGGCGGGCCUAACACAUGCAAGUCGAGCGAGCGGCGGACGGGUGAAUAAUGUCUGGACAACUGCCUGAUGUAGGGGGAUAACUACUGGAAACGGUAGCUAAUACCGCAUACCAUACGAUGUGCCCAGAGGUGAUUAGCUAGUAGGGGGGGUAAUGGCUCACCUAGGCGACGAUCCCUAGCUGGUCUGAGAGGCUGACCAGCCACACUGGAACUGAGACACGGUCCAGACUCCUACGGGAGGCAGCAGUGGGGAAUAUUGCACAAUGGGAGCAAGCCUGAUGCAGCCAUGCCGCGUGUGUGAAGAAGGCCUUCGGGUUGUAAAGCACUUUCAGCGAGGAGGCGUUACUCGCAGAAGAAGCACCGGCUAACUCCGUGCCAGCCGCCGCGGUAAUAC